UGAGUGGGAGACCCAGAGUUGUUUG
rnacentral:misc_RNA from 1 species